GACGAACGCUGGCGGCGUGCCUAACACAUGCAAGUCAAACGGAAGGGCCCUGAGCUUGUGGCUUGCUCGAGAGCCGAACGGGUGUGUAACACGCGAGUAACCUGCCCUUGACUUUGGGAUAACUUCACGAAACUCGGGCUCAUACCGGAUAGGAGCUCCUGCUCCAUGGUGGGGGUUGGAAAGUUACGGCGGUUCGGGAUGGACUCGCGGCUUAUCAGCUUGUUGGUGGGGUAGUGGCUUACCAAGGCUUUGACGGGUAGCCGGCCUGAGAGGGUGACUGGCCACCUCAGGACGGAGAUACGCCCCAGACUCCUACCGGAGGCCGCAGUCGGGAAUACUGCACAAGGAGCCGAAGCCUGAUGCAGCACCGUCGCGUGCGGGAUGACGGCCUUCGGGUUGAGAACCGCUUUCGCCUGUAGUGUGGCGUGAGUGACGUUAAUCAGUAAAUAAGCCACGGCUAACUACGUG
rnacentral:rRNA from 1 species